GGCGGCUGAAUUGCCGAAGAAGACAUCAACACCUCGUCUUUUGUCCAGGGAAAUGCUGAAGUCUUUUAGUCUGCUUCCCUCUAAGUUCCUGAGGGAGAAGUUUCUCAGCACAAAGAAGGAGGCCAGUCCUGAGAAGAGUAUUCUGCCCAGAAUUGGCCCAUUUCUAGACAGGAGUGAGACUCGUCGAAAGUCGUCAACAGGUGCCCUGAAACCGAGCUCGUUUGAGGUUUCCCCACCAGAGAUGGUAUUUGAGAA